rnacentral:rRNA from 1 species
UAACGCGUGGGUAACCUGCCUCAUACAGGGGGAUAACAGUUAGAAAUGACUGCUAAUACCGCAUAAGCGCACAGUGCUGCAUGGCACAGUGUGAAAAACUCCGGUGGUAUGAGAUGGACUCGCGUCUGAUUAGCUAGUUGGUGGGGUAACGGCCUACCAAGGCGACGAUCAGUAGCCGGCCUGAGAGGGUGAACGGCCACAUUGGAACUGAGACACGGUCCAA